rnacentral:rRNA from 1 species
UACGGGGGGAGCAAGCGUUGUUCGGAUUUACUGGGCGUAAAGGGCGCGUAGGCGGUCAGCACAAGUCAGUUGUGAAAUCUCCGGGCUUAACUCGGAAAGGUCAACUGAUACUGUGCGACUAGAGUGCAGAAGGGGCAACUGGAAUUCUCGGUGUAGCGGUGAAAUGCGUAGAUAUCGAGAGGAACACCUGCGGCGAAGGCGGCAUCCUGGACCAAUUCUGACGCUGAGGAGCGAAAGCCAGGGGAGCAAACGGG